UCUGGAUACAGCCCAGUGGUAUAGCACAUGCUCAGCAUGAAUGAGGCCCUGGGUUCAAUCUCCAGAACCAUAA
rnacentral:tRNA from 1 species